rnacentral:lncRNA from 1 species
GGGGAAUUGGGGAUCAACUUUAUCACCCUAUAACUUGUAUAAACAAAAGAGAAUUGAUUCAUAGAGUAGUUUUCAUCAUAAUUUUUUUUUGUAGUGGCUAAAUAAAAAAUUAUAAUUAAACCCAAUUUUUUUAUAAAAAAUAUUCAAAUUUCAUUCUAUUAGAAGUCUGCAAACCAAUGUAGUUGAGGCAAACAUUUUAUCAAACACAUAGUAAGGAAAUGACUCACUGUCAUGUAAAAUGAUUGUUAUACCUGCCAAUGAAUCAAGCUAAGGCG